GUCCGAGAAAUGGGGGAAGUAGUUCACGAAGGUGAAUCCCCGCGCCUGGUCGAUGGUGUGGAACAGCGGAUUCCAGUCGAACCAGACCAGCAUGUAGCCGGGCAGCGAGUUGGCGACGAACAUCUUGCCCGAGGCGAUCAUGUUCACCCGG
rnacentral:ncRNA from 1 species